UGUUGGGAAAGCUCAGUCGGUAGAGCAUGAGACUCUUAAUCUUAGGCUUUGGAUACGAGCCCAACAUUGGGCAA